rnacentral:rRNA from 1 species
GCCGCAGUAUUUUGACUGUGCGAAGGUAGCAUAAUCAUUAGUUUUUUAAAUGAAAGCUUGUAUGAAUGGUUGGACGAAAUAAAUACUGUCUCUUUUUAAUUUAUAGAAUUUAAUUUUUUAGUAAGAAAGCUGAAAUAUUAUUAAAAGACGAGAAGACCCUUUAAAGCUUUAUAUAUUAUUAAGUUAUUAUUUUUAAGAUUGAUUUAAUUAAUAAAUUUAGGGAUAUAUUAAAUUGGGGAAAUUGAAAGAUUAAAUAAAUUCUUUUUAAAUAAAACAAAGAUUUUUGGCUAUUUGAUCCAUUUUUAUUGAUUGAAAGAUUAAGUUACUUAAGGGAUAACAGCGUAAUUCUUCUGGGGAGUUCAUAUCUAUAGGGGAGUUUGCGACCUCGAUGUUGGAUUAAAAUUAAAUUUGGGUGUAGAA